GAGAUGUUGGGUUAAGGUCCGUAACGAGCGCAACCCUGUCCUUAGUUACCAGCACGUAUGGUGGGCGACUCUAAGGAGGACUGCCGGUGCAAACCGGAGGAAGUGGGGAUGACGUCAAGUCAUCAUGGCCCUUACGGCCUGGGCUACACACGUGCUACAAUGGUCGGUACAAAGGGUUGCCAAGCCGCGAGGUGGAGCUAAUCCCAUAAAACCGAUCGUAGUCCGGAUCGCAGUCUGCAACUCGACUGCGUGAAGUCGGAAUCGCUAGUAAUCGUGAAUCAGAAUGUCACGGUGAAUACGUUCCCGGGCCUU
rnacentral:rRNA from 1 species